AUUGAACGCUGGCGGCAGGCCUAACACAUGCAAGUCGAGCGCGAACGGUCCUUCGGGACUUAUUAGAGCGGCGGACGGGUGAGUAAUGCAUAGGAAUCUGCCCAGUAGUGGGGGAUAGCCCGGGGAAACCCGGAUUAAUACCGCAUACGUCCUACGGGAGAAAGCAGGGGAUUUUCGGACCUUGCGCUAUUGGAUGAGCCUAUGUCGGAUUAGCUUGUUGGUAAGGUAACGGCUUACCAAGGCAACGAUCCGUAGCUGGUCUGAGAGGAUGAUCAGCCACACUGGAACUGAGACACGGUCCAGACUCCUACGGGAGGCAGCAGUGGGGAAUAUUGCACAAUGGGGGAAACCCUGAUGCAGCCAUGCCGCGUGUGUGAAGAAGGCCUUCGGGUUGUAAAGCACUUUCAGUAGGGAGGAAGGCCUGUAAGUUAAUACCUUGCAGGAUUGACGUUACCUACAGAAGAAGCACCGGCUAACUCCGUGC
rnacentral:rRNA from 1 species